GACGAACGCUGGCGGCGUGCUUAACACAUGCAAGUCGAACGGAAAGGCCCUGCUUUUGUGGGGUGCUCGAGUGGCGAACGGGUGAGUAACACGUGAGUAACCUGCCCUUGACUUUGGGAUAACUUCAGGAAACUGGGGCUAAUACCGGAUAGGAGCUCCUGCUGCAUGGUGGGGGUUGGAAAGUUUCGGCGGUUGGGGAUGGACUCGCGGCUUAUCCGCUUGUUGGUGGGGUAGUGGCUUACCAAGGCUUUGACGGGUAGCCGGCCUGAGAGGGUGACCGGCCACAUUGGGACUGAGAUACGGCCCAGACUCCUACGGGAGGCAGCAGUGGGGAAUAUUGCACAAUGGGCGGAAGCCUGAUGCAGCAACGCCGCGUGCGGGAUGACGGCCUUCGGGUUGUAAACCGCUGUCGCCUGUGACGAAGCGUGAGUGACGGUAAUGGGUAAAGAAGCACCGGCUAACUACGUG
rnacentral:rRNA from 1 species